ensembl:lncRNA
UGUAACAAAAUCACUGUUUGACCUUCACUUGUGUGAGCAGUUAUCAUGUUGUUGAACAGUGUGAGAGAAACAAAAGUGUGGCUCCCAGUCAUGGGAUUACCUGUUAGUGGCGUCUGUACACGUUUUUUUUUUUUGGCACAGUGUGUGACAUAGAGUACCGGACAAAAAGGACGUUGAGUUCAUUCUCUGCUGAGGGUCCAGCUGACACAGAGGAUGUUCCUUCUCCAUCAUGUCGGUACAUAGGGCAGAGAAAACAUAAGCUGUUAUCAGUGUCAGCAAACAUUUCACCCUUUAUGUUAAAUGAAAUACACAAAUUCAUUUUUGCUUUGGGUGUCUGCGGCUGCUGGAAAACUGAGCUAAAUUUGCACCUCUAGCUUGUCCAACAGUGCAUAAAGCGUUUUAUGAAUACUAGGAUGGAUUCAUCAGGCUUCUGUUUACACAUAGUUACUGCAUUUAAGUCAAUUUUGUCUCUGGACAUUGUUAGCAGGAAUUUCUUUAGAUUCUUAAAGAAAUCGGCGACUUUUUCAUUAUUUACCCUCCUUUUGUCCAUAGCGGUAACAUUUGAUGCAUCACGUCGCGGCAUUCUAUCAUAUAUUUUCUACAGGACUUUUUAAGCAGACUACUUUUCUUAUCACAAAUGAUAUUCAACAUUUCUACUGACCUGUUUUCUGGCGAUAAUCGUUCGGGAUAAGGCUCCGAAAAGAAAUUAGAAUGCAUUGAACUUCUUAAGUUGUAAACAAAGUCAGUCACAUAAGCACUCCCGCAUGUUCUGGAUACGUGAUCAUGGACGUCUUCACCGAUUCGCGGACGUAGGUUACACGUAACCGGAAAUGGGAGUUGUACUGAGCCGUUAUUUGAGACUUUAUUUUGUAUUUUAUUAAUUUUUGGUUUUACAGGUACUUUAGAUUUUUUAUCGGACCUGUCUGUGGUCUUUGAAUAAUUCUGACCCAUGUUCAGUGAUUUCCAGAGGGGUUUACACGCUAGGAGGAUUUAGGUUAGUAUUUUCGCUGCGGCACAGCUGAGGUCACUUUAAAUUUAUUGCUAGCAAUUUUUUGUUUGUGUGAGCAACUCUCACUUAACGAGCAACUUCUCGUAAAACAACAGGCAACUUCCUGUGUCUUUCUGCUUUUAAUUUACUGCUUUUAACCCUUGUAUGGUAAUCGGGUCUGUGAGACCCGUUUUCAGUUUUCUUUCGUUUUUUUUUUUUUAACAAAAUUAAAUUUAAUUAUUUACUAGCUUUCUGUGAGUGAGCAACUUCUCACUUUUUAACGUACGUUUCAAGAUAACAGGCAACUUCCUGUGUCCACCAACACCACACAAGGGUUAAUUUACUUUAUUCGGGGACUGAGGAAGUCAGUCAGUGUAUCUCUCUGGAUCACUAAGUGAAACUUCGUCAGCAUAUCCCGUUUUUUUAUGGAUUCGGGGACUGAGGAAGUCAGUCAGUGUAUCUCUCUGGAUCACUAAGUGAAACUUCGUCAGCAUAUCCCGUUUUUUUAUGGAUCGAUCACUGAGAGAGGUAUAAUAGGUCUUUAUAUAAAUAUGAAAGACGCAUAUUUACCUUCUGUCAGUAAUCCCACUUCUGACACCAAGAUUGAAGGAAAUUGCCUUCCCGGGUUUCCUCCGUGGCGUGAGCGAUAAGCAGAGUUUUGUCCUUUCCUUAUAAGACUCCUAAUUAUUCAAAGUAACACUCAGGUAUGCCAUUCAGCGUGUUAGUACGAGCUCGGGAGCAGCUUGGGAGAACAAGAAAACAGAGACUGCUUUAGGUUGCCUUCCCAAUCGACUCAAAGGUUUAUUUGAUACACAGCAGUUUAUAUAGAUGAAAAAAG